rnacentral:rRNA from 1 species
GUGUCAGCAGCCGCGGUAAUACAGAGGGUGCAAGCGUUAAUCGGAAUUACUAGGCGUAAAGGGAGCGUAGGUGGCUCUAUAAGUCAGAUGUGAAAUCCCCGGGCUUUACCUGGGAACUGCAUCUGAAACUGUAGAGCUAGAGUAUGUGAGAGGAAGGUAGAAUUCCAGGUGUAGCGGUGAAAUGCGUAGAGAUCUGGAGGAAUACCGAUGGCGAAGGCAGGGUUCUGGCAUAAUACUGACACUGAGGCUCGAAAGCGUGGGUAGCAAACAGGAUUAGAAGCCCGUGUAGUCC